rnacentral:rRNA from 1 species
AAUAGCUCACUAGUCGAGUCGGCCUGCGCGGAAGAUGUAACGGGGCUCAAACUGGAUACCGAAGCUGCGGCUGCAUACUAUGUAUGCGGGGUAGGGGAGCGUUGUGUAAGUCUGUGAAGGUGUGUUGAGAAGCAUGCUGGAGAUAUCACAAGUGCGAAUGCUGACGUGAGUAACGAUAAUGGGAGUGAAAAACUCCCACGCCGAAAGACCAAGGUUUCCUGCGCAACGCUAAUCGGCGCAGGGUGAGUCGGCCCCUAAGGCGAGGCAGAAAUGCGUAGCUGAUGGGAAACGGGUUAAUAUUCCCGUACUUCUUAUAACUGCGAUGGAGAGACGGAGAAGGCUAUGCCUACCGGGCGUUGGUUGUCCCGGGGAAAGGCUGUAGGCUGAGGUGUUAGGCAAAUCCGGCACCUUAAGGCUGAGAGUCGAGACCACUGGUCCUUUGUGACCGGGAAGUGGUUGAUGCCAUGCUUCCAGGAAAAUCUUCUAAGCUUCAGGUUAUAAGGAACCGUACCCCAAACCGACACAGGUGGUUGGGAUGAGUAUUCUAAGGCGCUUGAGAGAACUCGGGUGAAGGAACUAGGCAAAGUGGUACCGUAACUUCGGGAGAAGGUACGCCGCUGACGGUGAUGAGACUUGCUCUCUGAGCUAUCGGCGGUCGCAGUGAAAAGGCCCCUGCAACUGUUUAUUAAAAACACAGCACUCUGCAAACGCGUAAGCGGACGUAUAGGGUGUGACGCCUGCCCGGUGCCGGAAGGUUAAUUGAUGGGGUUAGCUUCGGCGAAGCUCUUGAUCGAAGCCCCGGUAAACGGCGGCCGUAACUAUAACGGUCCUAAGGUAGCGAAAUUCCUUGUCGGGUAAGUUCCGACCUGCACGAAUGGCGUAAUGAUGGGGGCGCUGUCUCCACCCGAGACUCAGUGAAAUCGAAAUCGCAGUGAAGAUGCUGUGUACCCGCGGCUAGACGGAAAGACCCCGUGAACCUUUACUAUAGCUUCACAGUGGACUUUGAACCUGUUUGUGUAGGAUAGCUGGGAGACUUUGAAGCAGUGACGCUAGUUACUGUGGAGUCGUCCUUGAAAUACCAGCCUGGCAUGUUUGAGGUUCUAACCUAGGUCCCUUAUCGGGAUCGGGGACAUUGUGUGGUGGGUAGUUUGACUGGGGCGGUCUCCUCCCAAAGAGUAACGGAGGAGCACAAAGGUACCCUCAGCACGGUCGGACAUCGUGCAACGAGCGUAAAGGUAGAAGGGUGCUUGACUGCGAGACCUACAAGUCGAGCAGGUGCGAAAGCAGGUCUUAGUGAUCCGGUGGUUCUGUAUGGAAGGGCCAUCGCUCAACGGAUAAAAGGUACU